CCCUUAGAUGUUCUGGGCCGCACGCGCGCUACACUGACGAAUGCAACGAGCUUAUAACCUUGGCCGAAAGGUCUGGGUAAUCUCCAAAUUUCGUCGUGAUGGGGAUAGAUUAUUGCAAUUAUUAAUCUUCAACGAGGAAUGCCUAGUAAGCGCAAGUCAUCAGCUUGCGUUGGUUACGUCCCUGCCCUUUGUACACACCGCCCGUCGCUCCUACCGAUUGAAUGGUCCGGUGAAGCGUUCGGACCGUGGCCUUUGGACGGUUCGCCGUCUGUUGGCUGCGGGAAGUUCGUUAAACCUUAUCAUUUAGAGGAAGGAGAAGUCGUAACA
rnacentral:rRNA from 1 species